GGAAUGUAUUUGUCUCUCCCUUGGAUCUGGGCUUGGCCAAGUGAUUUCACAAAUGUCACCGAAGCAGAUGCUUGAAAAGAGCCAGGUGCAUUGCAACCUGGUCCCCUCUUGGUUCUCUCAUAACCUGAGCAACCACGUGAAAGAGGCUGAGCUUAUCUGCCAAGAGGAGGAGAGACUCCAGGCAAUAGCCUGCCAACCUCCGGACUCAUGGGUGAGCCCAUCCCGGACCAGGCAGGGCCCGCUGACUCUCCAGGUGUUAAAGAGACAGGAGAAGGCAGGACCGGGUUCAGCCACCUGCAGCCCUGGCUACAAGAACCUCCAGCCCGUGGAGGUUAAGUGUAUUGUACAAAAGCGCAGCGUGAGUCUGGUUUGUGCAGUGCAAACAAGGAAGAGGGUUCUCACCUGGAACCCAAUCAGCCCAGCUUCUUGAUCUUGGAUUUCUCAGCCUCCAGAAGUGUGAAAAAUAAAUUUUUCCGUUUAAGUCA
rnacentral:lncRNA from 1 species